CCUGACCCUGAGCAUACGAGUGAUUGGCAGAUUAAAGCCUUGUGCUCUUUGACAAAUCCGUUGGCAUACACUACCAUGUUAUUUAUAAAAUUAUAAGCCAGAGUUGCGCUUCUGAUGUGAUAUGCCUGGAGGAAAGAAACAAUGAUAAAGGAGUCGGCACGGAUCUGAUGGGCUGAGGCUACCUGGCUAUCCACCUUAAAAAUAAGUUCCAGGCAGUCUGCUCUUACCUGAGGACUAAACUGAAUGACCAUUUUGCCAUUCACAUGUAACUGCAUGGAAUAAAGUCAACAAGCAAGCUGAGUCAGCAA